ACCGGAGCGUCCACCAGCACCUGCAAGGCGUGAGCGCUCCCCUCCAGCGGGGAGGACAGCAGCGGCCGCCACGGCAGGCGCCUCCACCGCGUCCACCCUCCCUCGCUGGAGGCGGCUGGUCCUUUUGAGCAGCUCCUUGUUCCUAAAUAACCCUCCCGCAGACGCUGAGAACGCGUGUAGAGAAUUGGGCACUACCCCCUCGCUAUCAGGCAAAGAGGAAACACUUCACGCCGUCUUAAGAGUCCCAAAGCCUGCUGUGGCGGCGGGGUGCGGAGGGAGAGGACCAGGGCUCUGCAGGGGUCUCCUGGGGCUGCUGCUGAGCUCGGCAGUACUCCGCGGGCUCCGGUGAAGCAGCAAGCAGGCCUGCACUCGACAGGCACACGCGUGAACCAGCUCUUCUGAAUUCCUGGAUGCGCAGGAACGUGGGGGUCAGCUUGUGCCUCUGGCCCUGGCAUUUUCAUGUGACACAGCAUGAUCCAGGAUAGACGCUGAUUUUGAUAUUCUUUUUUUAUUUUCUUUCUUUUUUUUUAAUCUGCAUUUUUGGAUGGAGUGAGAGAGGAACUGCUUUUCAUAUACCAGUAGUUCGUUUUACCUGGAAAACUGUCAAGCAUAAAAUAUGCCGGGUGGCUUUCUCUUCCUUUGUUUCUCACCCACAUGCACGUGCACACGCACAUGCACACACACGUUAAUUACAAGCAGAAAGCACAAAUGACACUACAUACUUCACCGCAUCUGCUCAGGCCUUAAUUAAUCCAACCUUCACACCAUCACCAUGGCAACAAUGCUUAACAGACUCUGCUGACUUGGAAUAUUCAAUAGAUAAUCUUACACUACAUAUUUUAUUCAAAUUAUAGCCAUAGAAUCGCUUCUGCGCUAGCAUUGUAAUGUCAGCACUGAUGGGAACAGAAUGAGCCCUUGCUCUGCUUGACCCCUCCUUAUGCAUUACCUCAUUAUAAUGUAUAAUGAUGUUCCAGCUAAGUCACAUUAAAGCAGACACACUCUUUUUCAAUAAAAUGGGCCUAUAAAAAAGCCCAUUACCACAUUUUGUGUACAUUUAAAAGAAAUGCUUGGGCUUCAGAAAAUGAAUAGGAAUAUUUUUCAGUGCUGUUCCUGCAACUCUUAUCAUAAAGGCAACUCCUAUACGAAAAUAUCAAUGGCAAAAAGGACUUUCCUUGUCAUAUUUUCUGUCUGUCUAGUCCUGGUGCCCUUCUUAUCAGCUUUGUCUCCAGGCAUGUGUUUGGGCAAGAUGCAAUCCCCGUUUUUUAAGUGUUAAUAGAGGCUGGGGCAACAUUGACCGUUAGGGCUAAUGGGAGAGCUACGUAUUUCGGUGGUUGGUUUGGCAAGGGAAGCCCCAUCACCAGCUUUCAGCUGUGUCCCCUCUCGCUCCGCUGCUUUCCAGCACCAAAACCUUGUCCCGGACCCUGGCGCGUGGCAACCCGUCACGACCCGGCCUCCCCGGGGAGGAUGGCUGACUGGGGCAGGCAGCCUCCACACCAGGGACGACGGGAUGGAGGGCACCCUGGCGCGGAGAGCCACUGCGCACUCACGUCUCAUAAACCAUUGUGUCUUUCCUCAGGGUAUUAAAUUACAACUUUAAACACUGACAGCAUAUACACAAAGUUGGAAAGAAUGAUUUUGCUAUUGUACUCAGAAAACUAUGCUGCUCUGAAGGUAUGCACGAAUUAAAUGUUAAUCUGAGUCCAGGGAUAAUCUAAUUAUUGCUUCCUUUUGAAGUAAGGGAAACAGUAUUUACUGAAUAAAUUAUGGCUCUUUAAAGGUAAAACUUUCUUUGAAGAUUAAGCAACA